UUUUAGGGCUGAGUGCCACUGAAGGAGGUUCUCUCUCUGGAGAUUGCUUCUUGUGAAGUUUCUUGUGAGUGUAGAACACCACGUCUUCCUGUUGAGCAUCAGGACCAAGAAUGCAAAGAAGAACACAAGAAGAGUAAAGAGACAAAAGUGACAAAAGCCUGGAGAGGAUGGGAGGCCCUGGGGAAAAGGACAGAGCUUGCCUUUGGAAAUGAGACUGUAUAGUUUGAAGCAAGUGCAACGGACAGAGAAAGAGUGACAGGAUAAGAGCUUGUGCUAUCUUAUGCCCAGAAGAUAACAUAUAUUUCUGUCUCCGUGAAAUAUUUUGGGGGUAUCUGUAUG
ensembl:lncRNA